AACGAACGCUGGCGGCAUGCCUAACACAUGCAAGUCGAACGAGACCUUCGGGUCUAGUGGCGCACGGGGGCGUAACGCGUGGGAACCUUCCCUUAGGUUCGGAAUAACUCCCCGAAAGGGGUGCUAAUACCGGAUAAUGUCUUCGGACCAAAGAUUUAUCGCCUUUGGAUGGGCCCGCGUUGGUUUAGCUAGUUGGUAGGGUAAAAGCCUACCAAGGCGACGAUCCAUAGCUGGUCUGAGAGGAUGAUCAGCCACACUGGGACUGAGACACGGCCCAGACUCCUACGGGAGGGAGCAGUGGGGAAUACUGGACUAUGGGCGAAAGCGUGAUCCAGCAACGGCGCGUGAGUGAUGAAGGUCUUAGGGUUGUAAAGCUCUUUUACCCGAGAUGAUAAUGACGGUACCGGGAGAAUAAGCUCCGGCUAACUCCGUG
rnacentral:rRNA from 1 species